UCAUCGGUGAUUCAGUGGUAGAAUGUUCGCCUGCCACGCGGGUGGCCCGGGUUCGAUUCCCGGCCAAUGCA
rnacentral:tRNA from 1 species